GGAGAGGUGGCCGAGUGGUCUAUGGCGCACGCCUGGAAAGUGUGUAUAUGCCACAAGCGUAUCGCGGGUUCGAAUCCCGCCCUCUCCG
rnacentral:tRNA from 1 species